CCUGUCCGGAAAAUUGAAGGUGUAUGGGUCGCUUAAAAGCCGCUAUUGUAUAAAACUGAACAAAGCAGUCCGAGGAAAUUUUCACCUUUGCCAGUGAAUAAUUCCAUCUACCAAAGCUCAUUCAGUUUCAAUUUUUCGGCCCGUUCGGAAGCUAAAUUUUUUUAUGUGAAUAAUAAAAGUAAGAAAGCAUUUUUAGAAGUGAGUAUUUGAGUUGCAGCCGUAGUGAAUCUGACAAGCGUAUUCAUCAUCAAGUAGCAGUGACGAAACAAACAUAAUGCCGAAGAAAAUACGUUGUUCCCCGUGCUUCCUGCCGUGUGGACCUUGUGGACCCUGCAGACCUUGUGGUCCAUGUGGUCCCUGUGGGCCGUGCUAUGAUCCGUGCUGUCCUCCGGUGUGUGGUCCAUAUGAUGCCUGCUUUGGAACUUGUUCACAGAUUGGUUGUGCUCCUUGUGGACCAUGUGGUCCCUGUGGACCAUGUGGACCAUGUGGCCCUUGUGGAUCAUGUUUGCCGUGCGGACCAUCGGCACCUUUACCACCGUGUGUGCCUUGUGGUCCAUGUUUGCCUUGUGGACCUUGUGGACCAUGCGAUCCCUGUGGACCUUGUGGGCCAUGCGGCCCUUGUGGACCUUGGGGCUCCUGCCGAGAUACUAAUAACGGAUGCUGAAAAGAACUGGGGAGUCCAAAUCGAGAUAGGAUAAAAUUCAAACAACAAUGGUUCUAAAUACAAUGCUUUCAAAAAUAUUA